CCCCGCCCGCUGUAGCGCCACAGCUCUUUGGGCGUUGAUUCUAGGGUCAGGGCCCUCACUCACACUGCUGGAAGGUUAAAGUCGACUUCACGCUAGUUUAAGGAAAUAUCUGACGCUGAUAACCAUGUCCCAAGCACUGCUCUAAGUUCCCAAUGUGUCCGGAAUUGGUGGGUUCUUGGUCUCACUGACUUCAAGAAUGAAGCCACGGACCCUCGCGUUUUAGACUAUGCUAAAAACAGCCUCAGGACCUUCAGCACUGAUCAACAAUCCUGGGCAUGGGCUGACCGACAGUUUUCACCCAGAGAGUGAAGAUCAUGGAGGAGCCAUCUUAAAUUCUGCCCAGCGCAGGCUCCCAGGAAUCCUAAUGUCACGAUCUCACUGCAGCCAAUGUGACAAACACAGCAGUAAUUAAGUCUAGAGAGCUAAACACACCUCAAAAAGAAUUGUCUCUUGGUAUGAGUGGAAUGGAAUAAAAUACAUGGAAACCCACAAAAGUUUCGAGGUGAACAUAUUAGCAAAAAUGCUCUAGCUUAUCCAAGCGACAGUUCAAAGUGUCAAAGGACUUCUAGACUCCCAAUCUUUCCACCGGCAGAAAGCAGGCUCAGUAGCCCAAACUGGCGCAUUUUAAAAUGCCCUUUUCAGAAGUGUGAUGGAAAAAGAAGGAUGUGUCAGUGCAGGCCAGUGUGUGGGGACCAAUGGCAAACUGCAGCUCCUGAACUAAGAAAGACUUUCAUAUCUUUAAAAAAGAAAAGGAGAAAUAGGAAUAUGUGAUAGAGACUGUAUGUGGCCCACAAAGCCUAACAUAUUUACUGUUUAGAUCUUUACAGAAAAUGUUUGCCAACUCCUGUGCUGCUGAGCCACUUCCAGGUUGCAGAACCAAAGCCUUACAUUCCCUAGCUUUAAAGUAGAGGACCUGGCAAUGUUUACUCCACCGAGUUUCAAAAUAGCUAUGUGACUGCUAUUUCACCCCUUCAUUCUUCCCUUACCAAUGGGCCUUAUCCUGUCCCUGUCUCAUCACUGAAUGUUGGGUCUAAGUGGACAAUAACUUGUCUUUUCAAAAAGUGCAUAAGCUUCUAGACCAAUAAAAGCCAUAUUAGGACCUGA
rnacentral:lncRNA from 1 species